rnacentral:snoRNA from 1 species
UGCAGAUGAUGUAAAAAAAUACUUGCUAUCUGAAUGGUAGUGCUGACAUACAU